CUCUGGGAUAACUGCGGGAAACUGUAGCUAACCGGAUACGACCUUGGAAGGCAUCUUCCGGGGUGGAAAGUUUUUCGGUCAAGGAUCAGCGCGGCCUAUCAGCUAGUUGGUGAGGUAACGGCUCACCAAGGCAACGACGGGUAGCCGCUGAGAGGGUGACCGGCCACACUGGGACUGAGACACGGCCCCAGACUCCUACGGGAGGGCAGUGGGGAAUAUUGCACAAAUGGGCGAAAAGCUCUGAUGCAGCAAACGCCGCGUGAGGACGAAGGCUCUUCGGGUUGUAAACCCCCUUUUAGUAGGGAAGAAAGCGAAAAGUGAGUACCCUGCAGAAAAAAGCACCCGGCUAACUACGUGCCAGCGGCCGCGGUAAUACGUAGUGCAAGCGUUGUCCGGAAUUAUUGGGCGUAAAGAGCUCGUAGGCGGUUUGUCGCGUUGCUGUGAAAACCCGAGGCUCAACCUCGGGCCUGCAGUGGGUACGGGCAGACUAGAGUGGUAGGGGAGAAUGGAAUUCCUGGUGUAGCGGUGGAAUGCGCAGAUAUCAGGAGGAACAAAUGGCGAAGGCAGUUCUCUGGGCCGUAACUGACGCUGAGGAGCGAAAGCGUGGGGAG
rnacentral:rRNA from 1 species